UAUUUAUAUAGUUUAAGUAAAACAUUACAUUUUCAUUGUAAAAUUAAAUUAUUAAAAUUUAUGAAU
rnacentral:tRNA from 1 species